GGUGAACGCUGGCGGCGCGCUUAAUGCAUGCAAGUCGAGCGUGUCCGUGGCUUCGGCCACAAUGGAAAAGCGGCAGACGGCUGAGUAACACGUGAGUAACUUGUCCUUUGGUGGGGUAUAACCUCGGGAAACUGGGGAUAAUCCCGCAUAAGACCCGUAAGCUCUGGUUUACGGGUGAAAGCUUAAUGCGCCAGAGGAGAGGCUCGCGACCUAUCAGGUUGUUGGUGAGGUAAUGGCUCACCAAGCCGAUGACGGGUAGCUGGUCUGAGAGGAUGACCAGCCAGAGGGGGACUGAGACACGGCCCCCACUCCUACGGGAGGCAGCAGCAGGGAAUCUUGGGCAAUGGGCGAAAGCCUGACCCAGCGACGUCGC
rnacentral:rRNA from 1 species